UACAGAGGUGGCAAGCGUUGUUCGGAAUUACUGGGCGUAAAGGGCGUGUAGGCGGUCUUCUAAGUCAGACGUGAAAUCCCCGGGACUUAACCUGGGAACUUGUCAUUGGUGACUGCAUUGGCUGGAGUUAGUGGCAGAGGGGGGUGGGAAUUCCACGUGUAGCAGUGAAAUGCGUAGAAGAUGUGGAGGAACACCGAUGGCGAAGGCAGCCCCCUGGGCCAAAUGACUGACG
rnacentral:rRNA from 1 species